AACGGCUGCCGCCAUCUUCCCCCGGCUCUGGUGGUGGCGUGGCGCGAUGACGCAAACACACCGCGCCGGGCGCCUCCGAGUGAGUGAGCGUGAGGAGGGGGCUGUGGUCCUGCGCACUGGUUAAACGGAGCUCUCUGGACCCACAAGAGGACAGGACACUGGUCUGGGCUGGUCUGGACUGAUCACUGGAUGAGAAAUUCAGCUGUGGGUCCCAUUACUCUUAGAUCAAGAAGGGCUCACCUGGACAACUGCUGGGAGGCCUGCCCAGAUGAGUCAACUCCCCUAAAAAUUACCCUGAGGAAACAACACACCUAAAGCCCUGUACCUACCACUCUGGAAGCUGACAGGCCUAUGCACAGCUGACACUCCAACUUUGGAAUGAACUGUGGACAACUGAGCUGCUUGUUUUAUGAGGUGUUGGGACUAAUUACCCUUGUUUGUUACUGUUAGUUGGCUUCUGGUAUGCCAUACCACUACAUAUGCAACUGUACAAAGAUGUUUCCUAUUGUUGAUCUGUAUCUGCUCCUACUUGGUCUGCUUGGCCUUUAUUCUUGCCAGGCAAACUCAGGGCACUGGGAGUUCCAAGCCCAACUUUAUGGCACCAAUCCCAUGGUGAUCCUCAACAGGACUAGAUGGGAUCCCUCCCAGCCUACUGUGUAUUUGUAUUUCGAUGCAUGUCCUAUUGAAACCAAAAACCCAGGCCAGAAUUCCUAUUUCACGGGGUGUGGAGGGUUAAGCUGGGAACGAGAAUAUCAAACCAAUAACAAAUAUGUCUGUCCUGAAUGGCGCCAGCCACCUGGAGGCCAAGGGCGUCUGAGCCACUGUAGGGAUAUUCUAGAUUGGUUCUGCCUCUAUUGGGACUGCCCCAUGGACUAUGGGGGAUACCUGAAUACACCCUUAACCCAGCUCCCAUCGAACCCUAAUUGCCAACAAGGGACUUGUAACCCUAUAAGAUACACUAUCCAGGACCCCACCAACCAAGAGUGGGCAAACAGUCGCCGGAUGAGUGUCCGAGUAGAUGGUAGGGGAAGAGACCCGGGGGUAAUCAUAAGAAUCCAAAAAGUCUGGGCCCCUUCACCCCCUGUCAUUAUACCUACACCAAGGCCACCACUGUUCCCAUUGGCCCCUGAGCCCAAGGGAAACCUUACUGAUCCACCCACACCUAACCUGCAUACCUCUUGAACACAUACACAAUCUAAUCAUAGUGUACUUUGAUAUGUUCAAACAAAGGGGGGGAAAUAAAGCAGGAAAUGAAUUGCUCUCAGUUGGAAGACCCCAUCCUUUAGUAAGCCUUUUGUUUUCCAGUAAGUUUUUGUUUUUCAAGAAUGAUGUAACCUCUUGAGCCUCUUCCUGCCAUAUGUAAAA